GUUUGAUCCUGGCUCAGGACGAACGCUGGCGGCGUGCCUAACACAUGCAAGUCGAGCGGAGAUAAAGAGAAGCUUGCUUUUCUUUAUCUUAGCGGCGGACGGGUGAGUAACGCGUGGGCAAUCUACCUUUUACUGGGGGAUAACACAAGGAAACUUGUGCUAAUACCGCAUGAAACCUUAAGAUGGCAUCAUCCAAAGGUCAAAGGAGAAAUCCGGUAAUAGAUGAGCCCGCGUCCGAUUAGCUAGUUGGUGAGGUAAUGGCUCACCAAGGCAACGAUCGUAGCCGAACUGAGAGGUUGAUCGGCCACAUUGGGACAUAGACACGGCCCAGACUCUACGGGAGCGCAGCAGUGGGGGAUAUUGGCAAUGGGGAAACCCUGACGCAGCAACCCGCGGUGAAGGAAGAAGGCCUUCGGUUGUAAACUUCUUUGAUUAGGGAGAAUAAAUGACUGUACCUAAGAACAAGCACGCUAACUACGUGCCAGCAGCCGCGGUAAUACGUAGGUGGCAAGCGUUGUCCGGAAUUACUGGGUGUAAAGGGCGUGUAGGCGGGAAUGCAAGUUAGAUGUGAAAUACCGGAGCUUAACUCCGGAGGUGCAUCUAAAACUGUGUUUUCUUGAGUAUCGGAGAGGAAAGUGGAAUUCCCAGUGUAGCGGUGAAAUGCGUAGAGAUUGGGAGGAACAUCAGUGGCGAAGGCGACUUUCUGGACGAUAACUGACGCUGAGGCGCGGAAGCGUGGGGAGCAAACAGGAUUAGAUACCCUGGUAGUCCACGCUGUAAACGAUGAAUACUAGGUGUAGGGGGUAUCGAACCCCUCUGUGCCGGCGUUAACACAAUAAGUAUUCCACCUGGGGAGUACGGCCGCAAGGCUGAAACUCAAAGGAAUUGACGGGGACCCGCACAAGCAGUGGAGUAUGUGGUUUAAUUCGACGCAACGCGAAGAACCUUACCCGGGGCUUGACAUAGUAAUGAAUUAUACUAGAGAUAGUAUAGCUCUUCCGGAGCAUUAUUACAGGGGUGCAUGGGUUGUCGUCAGCCUCCUGUUCCUGAGAAGUUGUUAAGUUCCCCGCCACCAGAGAGCACCCCUGUUGUUAGUUGCCAUCAUUAAGUUGGGCACUCUAACGAGACUGCCGGUGGUAAAUCGGAGGAAGGUGGGGACGACGUCAAAUCAUCAUGCCCCUUAUGUCCCGGGCUACACACGUACUACAAUGGCUAUUACAGAAGGAAGCGAAGUCGCAAGGCGGAGCAAAUCCCAAAAGAUAGUCCCAGUUCGGAUUGUGGGCUGCAACUCGCCCACAUGAAGUCAGAAUUGCUAGUAAUUGCAGGUCAGCAUACUGCAGUGAAUACGUUCCCGGGUCUUGUACACACCGCCCGUCACACCAUGAGAGUCAACA
rnacentral:rRNA from 1 species